CAAAUCUACACCACGACUACGCUCACAGGUGUAGCUAGUAGCUAGCCCCAUCCACUAAAUACCUUAUCGCGGUAAUAAUAUCAUCAACGGAAAGUUUACGCUGUAACCUUUAAACCGAAACAACAAGUUUACUACUAAUGUGUUUAUAUUGAAUAGUCAUCAAGACGAGACGCCGAGAAGGAGGUAAAAUUCAAAUUAAUAGAAUCGACACGAACAAAAAUACAAGUUGAGUAAAAAUAACAAAAUUGAUAUUGUUAUUAUUCAAUUUUACACUGCCGCAUGCCGGUGCAAUAAAUCUAUAGUCAAAUCUAUGACAUCAAUAGUUUUGCAUACGGAACAUAUCAUUUAUUAUUGUAUGACUCGCGCUGUAUAAUUAAGUUUUGCUUUUUUAUUAGUAUAAGUCUGUAUAAAUGAGGAAUUUGCUCUCCAAAGUUCGUAGUAUCAGUGCAGUCUCGAGACAAGUGGACAUACAAUAAUUAUACAAAUAUGAAGUUCUACCUCUUUGCCAUUGUUAUGCUUAUGGCUGUAGUCUCAGUGGUUCUCGCUGCUCCUUCUUUUAUUAAAGACCAGCCGUGUCCAUCUGAUUCCACAUUCGAACAAAGUGGCCCGAUUCGUUGCAUCCCCAGGUUUUUUAAGGAAGAUGACGAUGAAGACCUUGUAUGAAGACAUUCACUCCAAAUUGCUCACAACAAAUCACUGAUUUUGAAUAUUAAUAGCAGUUUCUGGAAACGUAAUUAGAGAAUCCUAAACAAUCUUUCAUUCCUUAAAAAAUCAAUACCUAUUCCAUAAAAACCGAAAUAAAUGUACACAUUUUAUAA